rnacentral:rRNA from 1 species
AUACGGAGGGUGCAAGCGUUGCUCGGAAUUACUGGGCGUAAAGGGCGUGUAGGCGGUUUCGUAUGUCUGGCGUGAAAGCCCCGGGCUCACCUCGGGAAGUGCGUCGGAAACUGCGAGACUAGAGUCCCGGAGAGGGAGGUGGAAUUCCAGGUGUAGCGGUGAAAUGCGUAGAUAUCUGGAAGAACACCGGUGGCGAAAGCGGCCUCCUGGACGGUGACUGACGCUGAGACGCGAAAGCGUGGGGAGC